rnacentral:lncRNA from 1 species
CUCGGCGGAGCCGGCGCUGCGAAUGGACUGAUGGCCGCUGAGGCUGCUCCUGGCGCGGUUCAUCAUCGGCCGCCGCACUUUCGCGACUGAGACGAAACGACACUCACCUUUACUUAAUGGAAGGCUUCGCUUACAUCCUGAACUUAAAGGAACUACAGAAAGGGACAGAAACUGCUUUCUUUUUAAACAAUGCGCUGAAAGGUUACUAGUGAUAGGAGGCUUAGUGAAGCGCGUGAUGUGAACGGCCACGCUGCAAGGCUGGAGAGAAAAGAGGAGGGAGUGAAGUUGCACCCUGAUCGCGAAUCCUCGGCCUUUUAUCAGGGGCGCCGCCACUCGGGGUCCGACCAUUCGCCUCCAACGAGGGGACAGCGAAUCUGCUGUCGUGUGCAGUCCACAGCAACCACAGGUGGGGCAACAGGAGGAGCGCUUGGGCACGACCACGUGACCCAGCACGAGCCACCGCCCGCCCCAAAAUGAAAUCAAAUCCUAAUCUCCCAAUCCCGGCAUGCCGGUCACUCCAGCCUUUCCAGGAGACUUGCGGCCGUGCAGCCCCUACACCUUUAUCUGGACUCCUGUCGUACUUGGCCCAGCUCCACUGGAUUCAGCCCUUGGAUAACCACCCUACCAGCCCCUAAAGAUGACUCCAUCCCCGUCGGUAUAGUUAAUUAAAGAAAAACAGGAGUCGAAUUUUCCUGGGGUAACUGGUUCUUUAGCAGGAGGGGAGCACUGGGGAGUAUCUUCAGGGUGGCUGGACUUUGCAGCCUCUUUAAUAACUUCCCCCUGUGCAGGUUGUAUCCUUUAUCACCCCACCCCGAUGCCCCGGUCUUCAGGAAAUGGCAGCAGGCCCAUAUUUCUGUAGGGUUCAGAGUUCUGUGAGGUAGAGCAUUCCUUCCAAUGGGAUCUUAGAAUUCCUAGAGUUGCAGAAUUUUACUGACUAGACCCAGGAGGUCUCAGGAGUCCAGACUUGCUUAAAGCUUGGCUCAAAAUUCCAAGGGAGCUCAUAACUCCAUGGGGCCCAGAGUUCCUGGCUCGGGAACAUUGGGAGGCCUGGGAUACAGUGCCUUAGCCUCAAGCAGAAAAGUGAACACAAUAUCUUUAUGGCUUGAAGGUAUAUGAAAUAAUGUCACUACAUCGGAGCAGCGCCUCUGCUUGCACACCUAUGGGAGUCUGCAGCUGUGACACGUAGAAGUUGGCCACAUCCAGGUCGGUGGCUCCAAAGUGGGCGGCCACACGCACACCCUCGUGCAACGUGAAGCUCACCUGAUGACCCACCAUGGCCAGCAGGCUGCGGAGGUAACGCUCCCGAAGGGCGGCUCGUGCCCGCUGCUCCUGGGAUUCCAGGGAUUCUUGAGCUAUGGGACACUCCUGGAUUUCAGGAACCUCUGGCCUCAAGGGGGCUCUGCGUCCAUCAGGGGCAAAGCCACGGCUGAAGCCAUCAGGGCCCCGGGGCAGCCGGAGCACAGGCACGGGAAUGUUCACUGGAGUUUGCAUUGUCUUGGCUGUUGAGUGAAGAAAAAGAGCAGGAAGUCAUUACAUGGCUCUUCCUGUCUCUGCACCUGAACUGUGAGCCCCUUGCAAGACAGGACCCUGCAGAUAGACCAAGGAUGUGAACCAGGGCUACUCAGUCUGGACACUAUUGACAUUUGGGGCUGGAUAAUUAUCUGCUAUGUUGUGGGGGCUGUCCAACGCAUAGGUGUAGGGUUUGAGCAGCAUCCUAGCCUCUGCCUCCUAUUAAUAGAUGCCAGUAGCAUCCCAUCUUCAAGUUGUGACAGCCAAAAAUGUCACCACUGGUGAACAGUGAAUUGGUGAAUGUGAAUUGCAUCUCAAUACAGUUUUUUUUUAAAGUCUC